UUCACGUGUAGGGACCAGGUGAAGGCGGGCCCACCUCUACCGCGCGGCGCACGCCAUCAUCCUCUCAUGGCGGCCGCUGCCGCCGGCCGGACUGAGAAAGCAAUGGACUCCCAAAAGGGGUGGCUUGCAAUUGAAGAUUUCUUCCCGCGAUUCAGCUUACAAUGCAUUCAAAUCUCUGUUGGAGAAGUAGGAAGAUCCCACCACCACAACCCAAGCUCUGUCUUCUUGUCCGAUCUUCAGAAUCACUUCCACUCUCAUUCCGAUUCUUCUUCCUUCUCUCAACUUUCCCUCCACCAUCAGUAUUUGUUUCCUGUACACUAAUCAUAUUUCAAAUUUCAACAUUGUGUUUGCUUGCCCUGUAGUGAAAAAUGGAAAGAUUUCCUCACUCUUGUGUAGUUCAUUCUGAUUACUAAAUGUGUUGCAUGUGAUGUUUACUACCACAUCCAUUGAACCAACUGGCAAGAGGAACCUGGGUAUUGAAAUACCAUGGCCAUCAACUAAGAGCUUCAAUGUUUGAGUCAAAUGGGAAGCUUAGAUUUCUGUUUUUCUGCAAUUUCUAGGCAACCAAACAUGAUGGGUUUGUCUUUUUUGUUUGAGUAGAAUAUGACGAGAGGAGGAGGAAGAAGUUGACAAUGAUGGUGAUCCCAGCAUUUUUAUACCAGAAGACAGAAGACUGGUCCUUCACUUUCUAUGAAGGUUUGAACAGGCACCCUGAUUCCAUCUCCAAGGACAAGACUGUUUCUGAGUUGGUUGUGGAAAUGGUUGGAUAUCGAUUGCCCCAUCUGACAAGCGGUCUCCUCUCAAGGUCACAAAACUUGACUGUUUACUUAGAUUUCAACUCAUAGUCUUCUUGUUCACUUGGUGAACCUGAAAAAAACAGAGGUUUCCCUUAACUGAGCUUAAUCCAUUUAUCAGUGGGUUGAGGCUGAUUUCUGGUUUUGCAGAAGCCAUAAAUUCAUUUCAUGUUUUUCUUACCAAACAGGGGUUUAAUUUAGCAAUUCUUUACAGGUUUGUGUCCUUGAUAUCAAUCUGAGAGCAAUAAAAGUGGCAAGAAUAAAUCUGUAUUUAAAUGCCAUAGAUGAGAUCAUGAGAAUGGGCAACUUAUCUAUGAUAAUGAGAAUGAAAGGUUGCUUGAUAGAGUGUAGUUCAUGAAUCCAAUCUGCUUUCUUAUUGUAGAAAUCGUGGAAUAGAGCUGUCAUAAAUGAAUCAAAUGUAUCAGUGUAUAAUCGAUAUGCUUAUCAACAUUUUGACAUUUAGGAUUAUUUCUUUUAAUUCCUUGUAUUCAAAUGUAAUUGAACAUCAAUAUUAAAGCAUUUUGAGUUCUCGGAAAAUCCAUGAUAUUGAAUAGAAUUUUUUUUUUUUCUUUUCCCAACAGUCACUGAGAUCUACUGCUUUUUACUGGGAACCGGACAUUGUUGACAUUACAAUGUUGAAUGAUUUUACUUGCAUAAUGUUUGUUUUUUCCUUUGUUUAACAUGCAUGGACAAAUAACUGUGAAAGUAAUCAAUUUACCGCAGGAGACAACUGGCAAGCCUUGUGAGAUGGCCUUGUAGUUACAGAGGCCCUACCACAAUCAGGUUUGAUGAUAGAUUUGAUUGAAUGGUUCAAACCAAUGGUUGUGCUUAUGGGAAUGGCUUGUUUUGAGGCAGUUACUAGUUCAUCCUUUCAACUUAAUGAGCCUUAUUAAGUUGAUGCAUUCUAAACUGCCCUAGGAUUAAACAAGAUACAUAGUACUGUUAGAUAUGCAAUGAAGAAGUUGUUAGGCCUGAGAAAGCAGAAAGAUGGGAGCUUAUUAGAGGCUGUUGCAGAACAGAAGAGAGUUCUUGGAAACAGAUCUUGGUGCUUAGAGGAGAUGCCACCACUGGGAUUUUGGUGUUGUAAAAUAUGUUGUUUGUGUGAUGAGUGUUGCAGAGGCCAGCCAUGGUCUUCAGAAGGACACAGGUGACUCCAAUUGCUUUGUGGCUAGGAAGUUUCAAAUUUGCAGUUUCUUCAGUGAGGUGCAGAGAUAUCAAGAAAUGUGCAUACAGAGAGAGCUCAAGACACAGAGAAAGCUGAAAAGAGGUGUUGGGAAUGGAGAGAGCAGAUCUACCUGGCAGAUAUCACAAGGAGGCAGCUGAGAAGAUGAAGUGGAGGGUGGGUGUUUGAGAAGAGGGACACGUUGAUGCUUCUGGGACAGCUUGUUAGCUGUGUGCACCCUUUCAUCGCAUCCCCAACAGAGUACUGCCUCAUCAGCACUACAUAGAACCUCAGCCUCCACAUUCCCACAUAUAUCACACGGUAUCUUCAUCUCAGGUUCUUCUCUUAUUCUUCUGCUGGAUCUAAAACUGAGGUUUGAAUCUCUCAAUUUGUGCUUCCACUUCUUUCCUUUCUGGAAUAUAUUAAGCCUGUAGAUGUUGGAGAUUUAUCGUGUCUUUUAUAUCCUCCUACAAAGGAGUCCUUAGAAUAAUAGCUUGCAUGGAUCUCUAUAUAUAACCCCUCCUCUCUUUAUAAAUGAGGUAUAAGAUUUUGGAAGGAUUUCCAUAUGGAUCAA